rnacentral:rRNA from 1 species
UGAAUAAUAUAAAAGGUAACGCCUGCCCAGUGACACUAUGUUUAACGGCCGCGGUAUUCUGACCGUGCGAAGGUAGCGUAAUCAUUUGUCUUUUAAAUGGAGACUUGUAUGAAAGGCAUCACGAGGACUUAACUGUCUCCUUAAUUUAAUCAGUGAAACUGAUCUCCCCGUAAAAAAGCAGGGAUAAAAUCAUAAGACGAGAAGACCCUAUGGAGCUUAAAACAAUAAACUACUUGUAUAAUCUGCUAUUUAAUACCACUAAAAUACAAAUCUAGCCUAAGUUUUCUGUUGGGGCGACUGUGGAGAAAAACUUAUCCUCCAUGAAGAAUAAACUUUGAGCUACCACUCUUAGUAUUAGCAAGCCUAACUUAAAUUGAUCCAAUCUUUGAUCAACGGACCAAGUUACCCUAGGGAUAACAGCGCAAUCUAUUUCAAGAGUCCCUAUCGACAAAUAGGUUUACGACCUCGAUGUUGGAUUAGGACAUCCUAGUGGUGUAGCCGCUACUAAC